rnacentral:rRNA from 1 species
CACGUAGGCGGACUGUUAAGUCGGACGUGAAAUCCCUCAGCUUAACUGAGGAAGUGCAUUCGAAACUAGCAGUCUUGAGUACGGGAGAGGGUCGCGGAAUUCCCGGUGUAGAGGUGAAAUUCGUAGAUAUCGGGAGGAACACCAGUGGCGAAGGCGGCGGCCUGGACCGAUACUGACGCUGAGGUGCGAAAGCGUGGGGAGCAAACAG